rnacentral:rRNA from 1 species
GAUGAACGCUAGCGGCAGGCCUAACACAUGCAAGUCGAGGGGUAUGCGGUGCUUGCACUGCAGAGACCGGCGCACGGGUGCGUAACGCGUAUGCAAUCUACCUUUUACAGAGGGAUAGCCCAGAGAAAUUUGGAUUAAUACCUCAUAGUAUCUUUGCCUGGCAUCAGGUGAUUAUUAAAGUACCAACGGUAAAAGAUGAGCAUGCGUCCUAUUAGCUAGAUGGUAAGGUAACGGCUUACCAUGGCUACGAUAGGUAGGGGUCCUGAGAGGGAGAUCCCCCACACUGGUACUGAGACACGGACCAGACGCCUACGGGAGGCAGCAGUGAGGAAUAUUGGACAAUGGGCGCAAGCCUGAUCCAGCCAUGCCGCGUGCAGGAAGACGCAUCUAUGGUGUGUAAACUGCUUUUGUACCAGAGAAAACCUAUCUACGUGUAGAUAGCUGAUAGUAUGGUAAGGAUAAGCAUCGGCUAACUUCGUGCCAGCCGCCGCCGUAACAC